rnacentral:rRNA from 1 species
UACGUAGGGUGCGAGCGUUAAUCGGAAUUACUGGGCGUAAAGUGUGCGCAGGCGGCCGCGCAAGUCGAGUGUGAAAGCCCCGGGCUUAACUUGGGAAUUGCGCUCGAAACUAACGUGGCUGGAGUAUGGCAGAGGAAGGUGGAAUUCCACGUGUAGCGGUGAAAUGACGUAGAGAUGUGGGAGGAACACCGAUGGCGAAGGCAGCCUCU